AUGUUUGCGUAAUCGCUAUAAACAUUUGAUGUUUAUAGAGGAAAGUCCAUGCUCGCACAGGCUGAGACGCUUGUAGUGUUCGUGCUUGAUGAAAUCAUAAAUCAAGGCAGUUGAAGAUUCAACUGACGGCAGGGAUUUAAGCUAAGUCUAACAAUAGAUAUGCUUUGAUCCCAUAAAAGUGCCACAGUGACGUAGCUAAGUUGGAAACAAUUUAGGUGGAACGGGUAAACCCCACGAGCGAGCAACCCAAAUAAUGGUAGGGGCAUCUUGGAUUAGGGAAUUAAACCGAAACAAGGACAAAUCACGUGAGAAUGAUUUGUAGAUAGAUGGUUACGACUAACUGUACGAGGCUGACCACCGUAUAAGUACGUUAGCACAGAACAUGGCUUACAAAA
rnacentral:RNase_P_RNA from 1 species